rnacentral:lncRNA from 1 species
CUCCCCUCCCGUCAAGUUACCUGGGCAAUGUAAUUUUCAUGGCUUCAUCAAUUGCUCUAUCUGGAAACCUCCAAUCAGAGCCGUUUGUAAAUACCCUAGGGAGAGUUCAUGGAGCAUUGGCAAGGAUGGACAAUGAGUAUCUAAGAUCAGCUAUUGACUACCUAGAAACACUGCCAGAUAUUAAAGCUGCCAGGGGAAAACCAGAAACUUACCAAUGUCCAAGCUUAUUUAUCAACAAAUGGAGUCGACUGCCUUUGCAUGAUGCUGAUUUUGGCUGGGGUCGUCCAUUAUACGCGGGACCACCAAACGUUGUCAGUGAAGGACAAAUAUUCCUAGUACC